GCACGAAGUUAGCCGGGACUUAUUCUCCGGGUACCGUCAUUAUCGUCCCCGGCAAAAGAGCUUUACAACCCGAAGGCCUUCAUCACUCACGCGGCAUGGCUGGAUCAGGCUUGCGCCCAUUGUCCAAUAUUCCCCA
rnacentral:rRNA from 1 species